AUUGGACGCUGGCGGCAUGCCUUACGCAUGCAAGUCGAACGGUAACAGGUCUUCGGAUGCUGACGAGUGGCGAACGGGUGAGUAAUACAUCGGAACGUGCCCGAUCGUGGGGGAUAACUACUCGAAAGAGUAGCUAAUACCGCAUACGAUCUACGGAUGAAAGCGGGGGAUCUUCGGACCUCGUGCGGACGGGGCGGCCGAUGGCAGAUUAGGUAGUUGGUGGGAUAAAAGCUUACCAAGCCGACGAUCUGUAGCUGGUCUGAGAGGACGACCAGCCACACUGGGACUGAGACACGGCCCAGACUCCUACGGGAGGCAGCAGUGGGGAAUUUUGGACAAUGGGCGAAAGCCUGAUCCAGCAAUGCCGCGUGCAGGAUGAAGGCCUUCGGGUUGUAAACUGCUUUUGUACGGAACGAAAAGACUCCUUCUAAUACAGGGGGUCCAUGACGGUACCGUAAGAAUAAGCACCGGCUAACUACGUGCCAGCCGCCGCGGUAACAC
rnacentral:rRNA from 1 species